GGUAGCUGGUCUGAGAGGAUGACCAGCCACACUGGGACUGAGACACGGCCCCAGACUCCUACGGGAGGCAGCAGUGGGGAAUAUUGGACAAUGGGCGAAAAGCCUGAUCCAGCCAUGCCGCGUGAGUGAUGAAGGCCUCGGUCGUAAAGCUCUGUGGGGAGGGACGGAAAAAGACGUGACCUAAUACGUCUCGCCUUGACGGUACCUCCUUAGCAAGCACCGGCUAACUCCGUGCCAGCAGCCGCGGUAAUACGGAGGGUGCAAACGUUGCUCGGAAUUAUUGGGCGUAAAGCGCACGUAGGCGGUCCGCUAAGUCGGAUGUGAAAGCCCUCGGCUUAACCGAGGAAGUGCAUCCGAAAACUGACGGGCUAGAGUACGGAAGAGGGUUUCGGAAUUCCCGGUGUAGAGGU
rnacentral:rRNA from 1 species